AGCAGAGCGAAGGGGGCGGGGCUCUCGCCUGCUCACCGCCCGACCGCCCGGCGGAAAGGGCCGAACGAUCCCGGAAGGAGCCGAAGCGGCGAUGCAGGAGAAGAGGACAAUAAUGUGACAAAAACAUGGAUCCUCAGCCUGAUGAAUGAGGUCAAGUCUGAAAACAAGAAAGAGAACAAACACCGCGUUUCACCAUAUUGACCAGGCUGAUCUUGAACUCCUGACCUUGUUAUCUGCCUGCCAUGGCCUCCCGAAGUGCUUGGGAUUACAAGGAUGAGCCACCGCGCCUGGACAUCAUGUGGAUCUCU